rnacentral:rRNA from 1 species
UACGUAGGGUGCAAGCGUUGUCCGGAAUUACUGGGCGUAAAGAGCUCGUAGGUGGUUUGUCGCGUUGUUCGUGAAAACUCACAGCUCAACUGUGGGCGUGCGGGCGAUACGGGCAGACUUGAGUACUGCAGGGGAGACUGGAAUUCCUGGUGUAGCGGUGGAAUGCGCAGAUAUCGGGAGGAACACCAGUGGCGAAGGCGACUACCUGGCCUGUUCUUGACGCUGAGACGCGACAGCAUGGGGAGCGAACGGG